UUUGAAAUCUGGCCCCCCGGCCCGAGUUGUAAUUUGCAGAGGAUGCUUCUGGCGCGGUGCCUUCCAAGUCCCCUGGAACGGGGCGCCAUAGAGGGUGAGAGCCCCGUCCGGUUGGCCGCCAAGCCUGUGUGAAGCUCCUUCGACGAGUCGAGUAGUUUGGGAAUGCUGCUCUAAACGGGAGGUAGACCCCUUCUAAAGCUAAAUACCGGCCAGAGACCGAUAGCGCACAAGUAGAGUGAUCGAAAGAUGAAAAGCACUUUGAAAAGAGGGUUAAACAGUACGUGAAAUUGUUGAAAGGGAAGCGCUUGUGACCAGACGUGCGCCGGGUGUUCAGCGGGCGUUUUCGCCCGUGCAUUCGCCCCGGCGCAGGCCAGCGUCGGUUUGGGCGGGGGGAUAAAGGCGCCAGGAACGUAUCUCCCCCGGGAGUGUUAUAGCCUGGCGCGCCAUGCCCCCGCCUGGACCGAGGUUCGCGCUCCGCAAGGACGCUGGCGUAAUGGUCCCCAGCGGCCCGUCUUGAAACACGGACCAAGGAGUCGAGGUUUUACGCGAGUGUCUGGGUGUCAAACCCGCACGCGUAAUGAAAGUGAACGCAGGUGGGAGCUUCGGCGCACCACCGACCGAUCCUGAUGUUUUCGGAUGGAUUUGAGUAGGAGCGUAGGGCCUCGGACCCGAAAGAUGGUGAACUAUACUUGGAUAGGGUGAAGCCAGAGGAAACUCUGGUGGAGGCUCGCAGCGGUUCUGACGUGCAAAUCGAUCGUCAAAUCUGAGUAUGGGGGCGAAAGACUAAUC
rnacentral:rRNA from 1 species